UCGAACUCCUGGCCUCAAGUGAUCCACCCACCUUGGCCCCCCACAGUGCUGGGAUUACAGGUGUGGGCCACUGCCCUGGCCUAGACUGGGCAAUUCUAGCUGGGUUUGGGGAGGCCAUUGAGGAGGCUGGCAUUGGAAACCUGAGCCAGGGAAGGGCCCGGAGGCUGGAGUCCAGUAUGUUUAGUAGGUAGAAUCCUCAGAAUGCGGUGCCUGGCGCUUAGUACUGAGCGUGGCUCCAGAGGAGCAGAGUGCUGUCUGUUUUACUCACUGCUGAAUCUCAAGCACUGAAGACAGUCCUGGCACACAGCAAGUGCUUAGGAUGUAUUUGUUGAAUAAAUUAAAUGGGAGGCAGGAGUUGAGGCUGAUACCCAGGUGUCUG
rnacentral:lncRNA from 1 species